rnacentral:rRNA from 1 species
AGUGGAUGGGGAGCAACCUAGUUGUGCGUGUGUAAAGGUAGUGCCAAGAAAAGCGAUGAUCAUGUUGAAAAUCAAUUCCCGGUACCCGAAACCGACACAGGUGGGCAAGUAGAGAAUACUAAGGGGCGCGAGGUAACUCUCUCCAAGGAACUCGGCAAAAUGACCCCGUAACUUAGGGAGAAGGGGUGCCACCGAGAGGUGGUCGCAGUGAAGAGGCCCAGGCGACUGUUUAGCAAAAACAUAGGUCUCUGCAAACUCGAAAGAGGAGGUAUAGGGGCUGACGCCUGCCCAGUGCCGGAAGGUUAAAGAAGUGGUCAGUCUUAGGAUGAAGCUAGCGACUGAAGCCCCGGUGAACGGCGGCCGUAACUAUAACGGUCCUAAGGUAGCGAAAUUCCUCGUCGGGUAAGUUCCGACCCGCACGAAAGGCGUAACGAUCUGGGCGCUGUCUCGGAGAGAGGCUCGGCGAAAUAGGAUUGUCUGUGAAGAUACGGACUACCUGCAUUUGGACAGAAAGACCCUAUGAAGCUUUACUAUAGCUUGGAAUUGUGUUCGGGCUUCCUGUGCGCAGGAUAGGUGGGAGGCGUAGAAGGUAUUCUUGUGGGGAUACUGGAGCCAACGGUGAGAUACCACUCUCAGGAGGCUAGAAUUCUAACUUAAUUAAGGACAGUUUCAGGUGGGUAGUUUGACUGGGGCGGUCGCCUCCAAAAAGGUAACGGAGGCGUACAAAGGUUCCCUCAGACUGGUUGGAAAUCAGUCGAAGAGUGCAAAGGCAGAAGGGAGCUUGACUGCGAGAAGUACAGUUCGAGCAGGGUGGAAACACGGUCUUAGUGAUCCGACGGUGCUGUGUGGAAGGGCCGUCGCUCAACGGAUAAAAGUUACUCUAGGAUAACAGGCUGAUCUCCCCCAAGAGUUCACAUCGACGGGGAGGUUUGGCACCUCGAUGUCGGCUCAUCGCAACCUGGGGCGGAAGUACGUCCCAAGGGUUGGGCUGUUCGCCCAUUAAAGCGGUACGUGAGCUGGGUUCAGAACGUCGUGAGACAGUUCGGUCCAUAUCCGAUGUAGGCGUGAGAAUAUUGAGAGGAGCCUUCCUUAGUACGAGAGGACCGGGAAGGACGCACCGCUGGUGUACCUGUUAUGAUGCCAAUUGUAAACGCAGGGUAGCCAAGUGCGGAGAGGAUAACCGCUGAAAGCAUCUAAGUGGGAAGCCCACCUCAAGAUGAGUAUUCUGGUGUAAGGUCACGGGAAGACGACCCGUAAUAGGCACGAGGUGGAAGUGCAGAGAUGUAUGAAGCCGAAGUGUACUAAUAGACCGUCGGCUUGACCG